rnacentral:tRNA from 1 species
GGGUUGUUAGCUCAGUGGGAGAGCAACUGCCUUACAAGCAGUAGGUCGGGGGUUCAAAUCCCUCACAACCCACCA